UGUAAAGUGGCUGAGGUUUAAAGCGUUGGAUUGUAAAUCUAAUUACGGGGAAACUCCCCCUUUGCAG
rnacentral:tRNA from 1 species